UACGUAGGUGGCAAGCGCUGUCCGGAUUUACUGGGCGUAAAGAGCGCGCAGGCGGUCGAAUAAGUCGAAUGUGAAAGCCCCCGGCUCAACUGGGGAGGGUCACGCGAUACUGAUCGACUCGAAGGCAGGAGAGGGUAGUGGAAUUCCCGGUGUAGUGGUGAAAUGCGUAGAUAUCGGGAGGAACACCAGUGGCGAAGGCGACUACCUGGCCUGUUUCUUGACGCUGAGGCGCGAAAGCUAGGGGAGCAAACGGG
rnacentral:rRNA from 1 species